ACACCUCAACUCUCAUGGUCCACCAUGAUGAGCUUGGAAUUUGGAGGUAUUGCCGGCCCAAUUGUCGGCUCCUCUCAAAUGGAUCAGCUUGCCAGUGUUUGGUGGCAUCACGGGUGUGAUAACUAUCUACGCUCGUGGUUUUCCACCAUGCAACCUUCAGCGAUGGAGGUUCGCUGGAGCUUACAGACGUCUCUCCUCAGGGAGGACAGCUUUUUGAAC
rnacentral:misc_RNA from 1 species